rnacentral:rRNA from 1 species
UACGUAGGGGGCAAGCGUUGUCCGGAAUCAUUGGGCGUAAAGAGCGUGUAGGCGGCCCGGAAAGUCUGGUGUGAAAUCUUAAGGCUCAACCUUAAGCUGUCACUGGAUACUGUCGGGCUUGAGUCCGGAAGAGGAGAGUGGAAUUCCUGGUGUAGCGGUGGAAUGCGCAGAUAUCAGGAGGAACACCCAUGGCGAAGGCAGCUCUCUGGUACGUGACUGACGCUGAGACGCGAAAGCGUGGGGAGCAAACAGG